rnacentral:rRNA from 1 species
AUAUCAAUAAGCGGAGGAAAAGAAACUAACAAGGAUUCCCUCAGUAACGGCGAGUGAAGCGGGAAGAGCUCAAAUUUAAAAUCUGGCUUAUGCCCGAGUUGUAUUCUAUAGAAGUGUUUUCCUUUGAGUACCGAGAUACAAGUCUUCUGGAAAGAAGCAUCAUAGAGGGUGAGAAUCCCGUCCAUGAUCUCGAGUGGCUUGAUUUUGUGAUACACUUUCUACGAGUCAGGUUGUUUGGGAAUGCAGCCUAAAAUGGGUGGUAAAUUUCAUCUAAAGCUAAAUAUUGGCGAGAGACCGAUAGCGAACAAGUACCGUGAGGGAAAGAUGAAAAGAACUUUGAAAAGAGAGUUAAACAGUACGUGAAAUUGUUGAAAGGGAAACGUUUGAAACCAGUCAGUUGACUUGUAAUCAAUCUAUCUCGCGAUGGAUGCACUUGCAAGUUUUACUCGUCAAUGUCAGUUUGAUGGGUUGGAAAAAAGUUAGUGAAAUGUGGCUACCUUCGGGUAGUGUUAUAGUCAUUAGCAAAAUACAACCUGUUGGACUGAGGAAUGCAGUUGAAAUGUCGGCUUCGGCUUCUAAUCAACUUAGGUCAUUGACUUAAUGGUUUUAAAUGA